rnacentral:tRNA from 1 species
GCCCCCGUAGCUCAGUUGGAUAGAGCAGCAGUUUCCUAAACUGUUGGUCGCCGGUUCGACUCCGGCCGGGGGUA